rnacentral:rRNA from 2 species
UACGGAGGGAGCUAGCGUUGUUCGGAAUUACUGGGCGUAAAGCGCACGUAGGCGGCUUUGUAAGUUAGAGGUGAAAGCCUGGGGCUCAACUCCAGAAUUGCCUUUAAGACUGCAUCGCUUGAAUCAUGGAGAGGCGGGUGGAAUUCCGAGUGUAGAGGUGAAAUUCGUAGAUAUUCGGAAGAACACCAGUGGCGAAGGCGGCCCGCUGGACAUGUAUUGACGCUGAGGUGCGAAAGCGUGGGGAGCAAACAGG